ensembl:lncRNA
AGAAUAUUUUUCCCAUUAAUUACAGUAAUUAUGUUCAUCAGCACUUCGUUCAAACCAUAAAACUUUGUUUCCUUUUCCUUACACCCAUUUAGGUAUGUUAUCUACAUGGCUAUUUUUAAGCCUUCUGGAGAUUAUGCAUUGUAAUAUGCUGAGCUUUUAUUGUCUAAACAUUUUUAGUGAACAGAUCAUAUGUUCCAGAUACUGAGCCAUAUCAGCACUGUGUUCACAUACAGAAGCUCUGCUACAAUCUUCGAUGCCUGGAUUUAGCCAGUAAAAUUUGACAUGUUAGUCUAGGCAAAGGAAGCUGACUGGUUGCAUGAUGUUACUUACAGUGUAAGUAUGUCUAGAUUGUGAGAAGCUGUGUGCCACUAGACAUUUCCUUUCUGUCUUUGCACAGGGAUAACAGGAAAGUAUGGAGAAAUAGCUGUUGGUUAUUUUAUUGUUAUUAUUAUUAUUUAGUAUUAGAUACUUCUGUAUCUUUGUCCUCUUUGGAGAUGCUUGAACCUUUAGAAAAAUGAAGAGCUGUGAUGGCCAUGAGCCUUUACUAGACUGAUGUAAUCAGCAGCAUUUAUACAAAUCUUUCACUGCAACUGACAGUUGUGUAUGUUUUUCCCUAUGUCAGGUCGCCAUUGCUUUGUUGGACAGUCAACUACGGAAAGCAAAUCUUUUGUAUCUCUAGACCAAAAAGCUUUUGAGAAGUACCGGCACUUCUUGGCUGGCUGUGUACAGUGUGCCAUCCAAAUUAUAGUACAGGAUUAGUAUGUGUGUCCAAUGAAACUGCAGAAUUAUGGAAAGUAAGAUAUGGUCGUGAACACUAGCUCUUGUUUACAUGAUGCCUCUCUGCACCAUUGUAGCAAUGUGAAGAUGAAAAGGUGGGUAUAAUAGAUCCCUGUGCUCAGAGCUAGGUAUUAAAGCAGCUUGUAAAGCCAGCCAGCAUUUAAAUGUGGAGUGAGUGUACAUGAAAUGAUGGAGUGAAGGGAAAUGAAAAUAAUCUCAUAUACUUCUUAUUCUUUUCUACACUGGCACCUUUUUAAAAGUCCUUCUCUAAUGUUUGUUUAAAUUUUCUUCCAAUUUCUUGCUUCCAUUCUUCUUCCGCCGCCUUCUUUCUCUCAUUCUUUAGCACAGCUUAUCAUAGAAUCACAGAAUCACAGAACUGUAGGGGUUGGAAGGACCUUCAGAGAUCACUGAGUCCAAUGAAAGCAGGCCCCCUUCAACAAGCUGCAUAAGUAGGUGUCCAGGCGAGUCUUGAAUAUCUCCAGAGAAGGAGAAUCCACAACUGCCAUGGACAGCCUGUUCCAGUGCUCCGUCACCCUUACUAUGAAGAAGUUCCUUCACAUAUUGAUGCAGAACUUCCUAUGCUCAAGUUUAUGGCCAUUUCCCUUUGUCCUGUCCCUACAGAUAGCUGAGAAGAAGCUGGCCAUGUCCCUCUGACUCCCACACUUAAGAUAUUUAUAAACAUGAAUAAGAUCACCUCUGAGUCAUCUUCUCUCAAGGCUGAACAGACUCAGUUCGCUCAGCUUUUCCUCAAAGGGGAGAUGCUCGAGGCCCUUUAUCAUCCUUGUGCCCCUCAGUUGGGCUCUCUCCAGGAGAUCCCUGUCUUUUUGUACUGGGGAGCCCAGAACUGGAUACAGUACUCCAGGUGAGGCCUGAUCAGGGCAGAGAAGAGGGGGAGGAUCACCUCCCUUGAACUGCUGGCCACACUCCUUUUAAUGCACCCCAGGAUGCCAUUGGCCUUCUUGGUCACCAGGGCACACUACUGGGUCAUGGACAGCCUGUCAUCCAUCAGGACCCCCAGGUCCUUUUCUGCAGAGCAUCUCUCCAGCAGGUGAUGUCCCCUCAUCUUAUCUAAUGGAAUCUGAAGCAAGUGGAGCAAAGAGCAAACAUAUUCUUGAUGUCUGAAAUUAGCACCUUGGGCCGUGGGCCAGAAGUGUCUGUGUUACAAGCCAGGAAGAAAUAAUUCAAGCCUUCAGAUGGCGACAUGCCCUGAAAAGGUCUGUCUAGGCUUUGCUAGGAAGUAUAGUGAGGAAGAGCAAGAACAUGGCAUCAGUCCAGCUAGCUCUAGUGGCUGGUUGGAGUCCUUAAUGCCUGUACACAUAGGAGAGGAUACUGUCCUUGUCUUUGGCUCAUUAGUCCAAAAUAAAAAUGAGCAGCAGUGACAGUACCAUGUGUGUCUACGGCAGAGGCACGCAGCACCAGUUUUAUCUGGUCUGGGUAUGCUGAACCACAAAAUGUCAUUGUAUGGUAUCCAUUAACAAAGUUAUCAUCAGCUUUCUUUUUAAAAUGGAGUCAUGCUACAAAGUGUUUUUUGCAUAUGCCUCUGUUCCCAUUCUUACUCUGCCUCUUUUUGCUUUCUGAAAAUGUUCAUGUUCUACAUCUCUGGCCACAGGAAAAUAUGGCUAUUCUACAGUUGACUUCUCUCAACUUCUGUUCAGAACUUGAUUUUUUGUCAUGCAGAUUUGUUUUAGGGCUGCAGUCUAAAUUAACCUGAACUUAGUUCAAUGUAUUCUGAGCAGAGUCAUUGGGAAUUCAGCUUGAUGGUAGCUGUGUGAGUGUUUGAGGGUGGAAUCUGGUUCUUAGAUUUGUAAGUGAUUUUUGAGAUUAUCUAAAAACUGGAUGUGUAUGUUAUAUACAUCAUUGUGACUAAAGGAAACAAAGGGAAUGGAGCGCAUUACCUCAUUUCUUAAAUCUUAGAAGAUUAAAGUUGAUUCUUAAGUAUU